AAUCAUGAGUCGCGAACGGGUGACGUAACGCGUAGGGUAACCUGCCGUACUAAGCGGGGGAUAACUAUUGGAAACGAUAGCUAAUACCGCAUAAGAGUUUUUAACACAUGUUAGAAUUUAAAGGAGCAAAUGCUUCACUAGUAGAUGGACCUGCGUUGUAUUAGCUAGUUGGUAAGGUAACGGCUUACCAAGGCGACGAUACAUAGCCGACCUGAGAGGGUGAUCGGCCACACUGGGACUGAGACACGGCCCAGACUCCUACGGGAGGCAGCAGUAGGGAAUCUUCGGCAAUGGGGGGAACCCUGACCGAGCAACGCCGCGUGAAGUGAAGAAGGUUUUCGGAUCGUAAAGCUCUGUUGUUAAGAGAAGAACGUUGAGUAGAGUGGAAAGUUACUCAAGUGACGGUAUCUUACCAGAAAGGGACGGCUAACUACGUGCCAGCCGCCGC
rnacentral:rRNA from 1 species